CCCGGCGACCGGCGCACGGGUGAGUAACGCGUAUGCAACUUACCUAUCAGAGGGGGAUAACCCGGCGAAAGUCGGACUAAUACCGCAUGAAGCAGGGGCCCCGCAUGGGGAUAUUUGCUAAAGAUUCAUCGCUGAUAGAUAGGCAUGCGUUCCAUUAGGCAGUUGGCGGGGUAACGGCCCACCAAACCGACGAUGGAUAGGGGUUCUGAGAGGAAGGUCCCCCACAUUGGUACUGAGACACGGACCAA
rnacentral:rRNA from 1 species